AUUGAACGCUGGCGGCAGGCCUAACACAUGCAAGUCGAACGGUAACAGGAAGAAGCUUGCUUCUUGCCUACGGGGGGGGGAAGGGGGGGGAAAUGUUGGGAAACCGGCUUAUUGAAGGGGGUCACCUCUUGAAAACGUAACCAAUAACCGCUAACCGUCCCAAGACCAAAGAGGGGGACCUCCGGGCCUCUUCCCUCGGAUUGUGCCCGGUGGGAUUAGCUAGUAGGUGGGGUAACGGCUCACCUAGGCGACGAUUCCUAGCUGGUCUGAGAGGAUGACCAGCCACACUGGAACUGAGACACGGUCCAGACUCCUACGGGAGGCAGCAGUGGGGAAUAUUACACAAUGGGCGCAAGCCUGAUGCAGCCAUGCCGCGUGUAUGAAGAAGGCCUUCGGGUUGUAAAGUACUUUCAGCGGGGAGGAAGGGAGUAAAGUUAAUACCUUUGCUCAUUGACGUUACCCGCAGAAGAAGCACCGGCUAACUCCGUG
rnacentral:rRNA from 1 species